rnacentral:piRNA from 1 species
UCCUUCUGAUAAAGGGGAAGCUUGAGAAU